rnacentral:lncRNA from 1 species
UCGGUGAGAUUUUACAGUUUUUCAUAGUUUAGAUCGAGUCUGUUCUUCAUACCUACAGUCCACGAAAAAGCCACAAAAAAAAAUUAGAGUCAAUUCAUGGGGUUUGUCGAUCGUGGGAGAUGUGCCAUCACCUAUGCAAAUACCACAACCGUCACGAGAGGUGCACAAACAUCCAAAUGCACAUGAUCAGGUUAAUGUUUCUAUACCACCAUUUAAUGGCCGUUUUAGACCUGCUUUAUAUAUUGAAUGGGAGUUUGACCUAAAUAAUAUAUUUGCUUCCAAUAAUUUUGAUGUACGUAAAAAAGUUAAGGUUGCGGUUGGUUCUUUCACUGGUUAUGCUGUAGUUUGGUGGAGUGAAUAUUGUCGGUUACACCCUAAUGAUAUACCUACUACUUGGGAUGAUUUGAAACUUGCCAUGCGACAUACAUUCGUUCCCGCUUAUUAUACUCGUGACAUGAUUACAAAGUUGCAACAUUUAAAACAAGGUAGUGACACUGUAACGAAAUAUUAUGAUACUUUACAAACUACCUUGCUGCAUUCCUCUUUAGAAGAAAGUGAAGAAGAUUUUAUGGAUAGAUUUUGGGGAGGAUUAAAUCGUGACAUUCAAGAGAUACUAAUACAUGAAGAGUGUUAUCCUAUGGACCAUUUAUUUCAUCUUGCUUGCAAAGCUGAACAGGAAAUAAAACGACGUGUUGCGCACAAGGAGAACAAGCGCGAGAUGCACAUUCCAAGAGUUGAUACGGUUGUCCCUUCAACUACUAAGCAUACUAUGACAACCACAUCCGUUGUUGUGAGGACUACAUCACCUCCACCAUGUGACACAUCAUCACCGAGAGUGCCUACCUCAUCUGAGUUGAUCAUAAGAGGUAAUGACAAAGGUACUAAUCUUCCACUUCCACAUGAGUAUGAUGAAUGUCUUGUCAAUUUAAGUGCACCAUGCGGUGAGCUACCCACUACUUUGAUCACACCAGCUACCUUAGAGGACUAUGUUGAUGAUUUGACUUUGCCAUGUGAUCAAACAAUUUUGAGUGAGCCCAUUGAAUUAACUAUCGAUGCAAAAGAAUCAAGUGAAUCAGGGAAUAAAUCAGAUUUGGAUCAAAUAUGUUUGAAAAUAAUUGUGCCAAUGUUUAAUCAUUUUGAUAUGACCUCUAAUCUUGGUGAUGGUUCAUCAAUGUUGGGAUGGUUUAAUGAUAAGCAUUGUCAAUCUUUUGAUAUGAAUAAGAGCUUCGCUUAUAUGUGCAAACUGAGUUGCAAUAUUUUCAUGCCUUUGACUUCUUGUGAUAAUAUAUUGACUUUACAUUUCACGACUUUUGAAGGGUGCUCUUGUAUAACUGAGUCACAUGUGCACCAAAUGAGAUCAGUAAAAACGGAUGACAUGUACAUAUACAACGUGUACACCUUGUCUCUUUUGUUAGCCAGAUUUCAGAUUAAGCAACGCCGAGGACGGCUUUGUUUUCAAGAAGGGGAGGAUGAUGAGGACAUGACUACCUUGGAUACGACCAAAAAUAUUGCAUACAUGCAUAUUUGUCAGGUGAUUUCUAGUGCAAACUAUUCAAUAAUCUAUUUAUGUUAUCCAGAACAAAAAUACUUCACACACUUUUGUGUUUUGUCUAAUUGCAGGUGUAUGGGACAUUUGUACAAUCCACAUAUGAAGAUAGGGGAAAAGGAGAAGUUUAGGUUCUGUUCAAAAAGUCCUCUCACGUCACUUUUGGGCCAAGAGAAGAAAGAGUCCAAGUCUCUCACGUUCUGGAUUCAGAUUCGGACUGCACAGACAUACCUGACUCAAAACGCCAACAACUUUUUCAUACGGACUCCGAAUUGGGUGAUUCUUUUUUUGUUGGAAACUAGAUUUCGUGCUCUUUCCAACCCAAUUGGAUUCACCUUUAAAUUCGUCCGGAGCAUUGAGUUAUGGUCGAAACAAUCUGACGUUGUACCAGAAUCCGAGUCAAACUACAAGUCCAAAGGUGUUGCAUUACCUCCACUUGGGCCCAUGAGCCUUGUACGACCUAGGGUUGGUUUUAGGCUGCCUUGGGACGUCCUCCCACCUCCUUGGCCGCCACCCCUUGCUCCUAUAUAAGUAGAUCCAUCUAGUAGCUUUUUCCUUGGAAUUUGUUUAGUUAAAAGUUAGCCAUUGCAACUUCGUGUACUUCGUUUGUGUCCAACGACCAGACCAAGACCGGUUACGGAUUCCCACCACUAUCAAUACUUCAUAUAUAUUCGCAAUAUUCAGAUUGCAUUAUCAUAUUCUUGCUCGUUCUUCGAUUGCUUGCAGGAAUAGACCUUCGUGGUUAGGCUGAUCGUGCUUCCGGCAUCGUCAGUAACCUCAGGAGAUUGGUUUAGCGAUUGAUAAGGCGCAACGUCGUGCACGUUUGUAGUCGGAUCGUCAAAGUCGACUCCACCAAAUCGAUAGUUAUUAUCUCAUCGAAAGAUCGGGACACCCUCGCUCUAUCAGUUUGGAAGCGGCGCUCCGGGGAUGAGAUCGAUUCGGUGCUCAAUGCCUCGUAGUGGAGGUAGACCCGGAGGUAGCUCAUCGGGGAAAAUGUCUUGGAAUUCCUGCAAUAAAGAAGAUAACACCAAAGGUAGAUCGUGAGAGUUGUUAGUUUUUGGUGCCUCGUCCUUGCACAAUAGGACAUAGUGUAGGACACUUGAUGGGUUCUCACACACUUCUCUCAUCUCGCGUUUGUUGGCAAAUAGGACUAAGUUUUUCUUGUCGCUCAUCGUGGAGGCACUCAAUUUGGGCUUGUGGCGCUCACUCUCUUUUUGGUGGGUCGCUCUCUCACUAUUCUCUCCACGAUGGGUGUUUUGCUUGACGGCGAGCACUUGGCUUGGAGACAUAGGGCGUAGCACAAACUCUUUCCCUUUCAUCUUGAAGCUAUAUUGAUUUGUACGCCCAUUGUGAAUGACACCUCGGUCAAAUUGCCAUGGCCGUCCAAGAAGGAGGUGGCAAACGGUCAUCGGAAGGACAUCAAAUUCCAAAGUGUCUUCAUAGGCGCCGAUCUUGAAAGAGACUUGUACCCUAUGCUCGACUUGGAUGGUGCCGGUGUCGCUUAGCCAUUGAACCUUGUUGGGGCGAGGGUGAUUCAUCUUGACCAAUUGGAGUUUGGAGCAUAGUUCUUCACUUGCCAAGUUAUGGCAACUUCCUCCAUCGAUGAUGACCUUGACGGACCGUCCAUUGAUGCCGGCUUUUGUGUGGAAGAUAUGGCAUCUUUGAUCUUCGUCUUGUUGAUGUUGAAGAGUCAAGACCUUGGAGACAACAAGAGCGGGACUUGAAUCCUCAUCACAAAAGACUUGAUCAUCUUCUUCUUCAUUGUUCACUUGUCGGUGCAUGGCCACUUGCUCAAGGGCUUCCAUUUCUCCUUCACUCAUGGAGUCGUAGGUUCCGUCGUCGUUGAGGAUCAUGGUGCGCUUGUUUGUGCACUCGAAGGAUUUGUGGCCUCGGCCUCCGCAUGUGAAACACUUGAUGGAACUUGUCUUGAUGGUCUCAUCGGUUGGAGUAGAUGAUGAUGAAGCUUUCUUGAAGUUGCUUGUAGUAGUAGGACGACUUGAGCUUGUCGAAGCUUUCUUGUAAGUUGACUUGUCGUCGUUGCUUGUAGAUGGCUUGGUUGAAGGUGUUGAAGUCGACGAAGCUUGAUUGUUGGAGAGGCCAUAGGACUUGGAUGAGAACUUGGCAUACCUGAAGUCAUCUUGUACUUGUCGUUCCGCUUUGGUAGCUUGAUGCACUAGCUCGAUGAGGUUCGAGUAUGGUUGGAAGUCGGCAAUCUUCUUGAUAGGGUGAUUGAGUCCAUUCAAGAAACGUGCCAUAGUUUGCUCAUCAUCUUCUUUGACAUUGGCUCGUAUCAUGGUGAUAGAGGCAAAGGUGUCCCGUCUUUCGAUGAGAUGAUGAAUAUCGCUUUGAUGGAAGUCGACUUUGACGAUCCGACUACGAACGUGCGAGGACGUCGCGCCUUAGCAAUCGCUAAACCAACUCCGAGAGGUUAUCGACCACGCCGGAGCACGAUCAACCUGACCACGAGGGUCUGUUUCCUGCGAGCAAACGAAGAACAGGCAAGAAACUGAGAUUGCAAUCUGGAUAUUGCGAAUAUAAGAUGAAAGCUUUAUUGAUCAAGGUGGGGUUCUGUGACGCCUUUGUCUGGUCGCUGAACACAAACGAAGUACGCGAAGUUGCAGCUAUGGCGAACUUUUAAUCUAAACAAAACCCAAAGUCUAAACGACGCCCUAAGGGCUGUAUAUAUGGAGGAAGAGGGGGGAAUUUCGUGGCCCUUGAGGAAGGGGUCCGAAACCAACCCUAUCUCUUGUUCCCCACACAUACGGACUCUAAAAACAGCCUAUACUUAUGUAUUUCGAAAUUACAUGGGCCUGGCCCAAUAAUAAGGUGACGCAGCACCUAGAAUAGCCUCUGGACGAAAGUUAUGAAGUAGCAUCUUGUAUAUUUCGUCCAAGGCUUCAUGCACGCAUUAUGGUGGCUUCAACGUCCUGAAAUCAUCACUUGUAACUCCGUUCUUGUUCCCCAUGCGCAUGCCAUCAUCUCCAUGCUUGUUCUUGCUCCAAUGUUCAUCCUUCUCAAAGCUAGGCCCUUCAUUUGUAAGCAAAACAAAUGUAUCCAAUUUAGGCAGCAUCAUAUUCUCAUGAACAUUAGAAUCAUUAGCAAGAAACGAAAGUACCUGGUAAUUUAAUUGGCGUGCGCGAGCUCUAGUAAUUGGUCCAGUAUGUAUAGCAGCAGGGCCUGUGGGUGUAAUAAUUGUAUUGAUGUCCUCAUCAUCCUCCCCUUCUUGAAAUGAAGUCGGCCUCGACGGAAGCUCAUCUUCCUCACCCAAAUAAGGCUUCAAAUCUGCAAUAUUAAAAGUGGGACUAACCCCAAAAUCUGCAGGCAGCUCAAGUUUAUAUGCAUUAUCAUUUAUUUUCUCUAACACCUUAAAAGGACCAUCAGCACGUGGCAUUAGCUUUGAUUUGCGCAAAUCAGGAAAUCUAUCCUUACGCAAAUGUAACCAAACAAGAUCUCCAGGUGCAAACACAACAUGUUUUCUACCCUUAUCUCCAGCAAGUUUAUAUUUAGCAUUCAUACGCUCAAUGUUGUCCUUAGUUAACUCAUGCAUUUUUAAGAUCAAUUCAGCACGUUGUUUAGCAUCAAAAUUAACCUUCUCCGAAGAUGGAAGAGGCAACAAAUCAAUAGGUGCACGAGGUAGGAAACCAUACACAAUUUCAAAAGGGCACAUCUUAGUAGUAGAAUGCAAUGAACGAUUAUAAGCAAACUCAAUAUGAGGCAAGCAGUCUUCCCACAUUUUCUUAUUAUUCUUCAAAACAGCCCUAAGCAUAGUAGACAAUGUUCUAUUGACUACUUCAGUUUGUCCAUCAGUUUGGGGGUGACAAGUAGUACUAAAAAGCAGUUUAGUCCCCAACUUAGCCCAUAAACAUCUCCAAAAGUGGCUAAGAAAUUUAGUAUCACGAUCUGAAACAAUAGUAUUUGGCACACCAUGCAAGCGAAUAAUUUCACGAAAGAACAAAUCAGCAACAUUAACAGCAUCAUCGCUUUUAUGACAUGGUAUAAAGUGUGCCAUUUUCGAGAAUCUAUCCACGACAACAAAUAUGCUAUCCCUCCCCUUGUUUGUUCGAGGUAAACCUAAAAAAGUCCAUAGAUAUAUCCUCCCAAGGAACACUAGGUACAGGCAAAGGCAUAUAUAAACCAUGAGGAUUGAGUCGUGACUUAGCUUUUUGACAUGUAGUGCAGCGAGCAACAAAACGCUCAACAUCCCGUCUCAUCUUUGGCCAAAAGAAAUGUGUAGCAAGUACGUCCUCCGUCUUCUUCACGCCAAAGUGUCCCAUUAAUCCUCCUCCAUGCGCCUCCUGCAACAACAAAAGACGAAGAGAGCUAGCUGGAAUGCAUAGCUUGUUAGCACGGAACACAAAUCCAUCAUUAACGACAAACUUGUUCCAGGUUCUUCCUUCUUUACAAUUCUGCAAUACAUCUUUAAAAUCAGCAUCAUGCACAUAUUGAUCUUUGAUGGUCUCCAAACCAAAUAUUUUGAAGUCAAGUUGUGAAAGCAUAGUAUAGCGACGAGACAAUGCAUCAGCAAUAACAUUUUCUUUACCCUUCUUGUGUUUAAUGACAUAAGGGAAAGUUUCAAUGAAUUCAACCCAUUUAGCAUGUCUACGAUUCAGUUUAGCUUGACUUUUAAUAUGUUUCAAAGAUUCAUGAUCAGAAUGUAUAACAAAUUCUUUGGGCCAUAAAUAAUGUUGCCAUGUUUCGAAAGUCCGAACAAGAGCAUAUAGUUCUUUAUCAUAAGUAGAAUAAUUCAGACUAGGCCCACUCAAUUUUUCAGAAAAGUAUGCAACAGGUUUGCCAUCUUGUAAUAACACACCUCCUAAUCCAAUGCCACUAGCAUCACAUUCAAGCUCAAAAGUCUUACUAAAAUCAGGAAGUUGGAGUAAAGGAGCAUGUGUCAACUUAUCUUUCAAUACCGUGAAGGCUUCUUCCUGUGCGGUACCCCAAACAAAAGGCACAUCCUUCUUUGUAAGCUCGUUGAGAGGUGCAGCAAUGGUGCUAAAAUCUCUCACAAAACGCCUAUAGAAACCAGCGAGUCCAAGAAAACUCCGCACUUGUGUGACCGUUUUGGGCUGCGGCCAACUCUCAAUAGCUUCAAUCUUGGCUUUAUCAACUUCAAUUCCCUGUGGAGUAACAACAUAGCCAAGAAAAGAUACUCGGUCGGUACAAAAGGUGCACUUCCCAAGGUUACCAAACAAACGUGCAUCACGUAGAGCAAUAAAAACAGCACGUAAAUGUUCCAAAUGUUCUUCCAAAGAUUUGCUAUAAAUCAGUAUAUCAUCAAAAUAGACCACCACAAAUCGUCCAAUGAAAGCACGUAAAACUUCGUUCAUUAGUCUCAUGAAAGUACUAGGUGCAUUAGUUAACCCAAAAGGCAUGACUAACCACUCAUAUAAACCAAACUUAGUUUUAAAUGCAGUUUUCCAUUCAUCUCCCAAUUUCAUACGAAUUUGAUGGUAUCCACUACGCAAAUCAACUUUGGAGAAUAUUGUAGAGCCACUCAAUUCAUCAAGCAUAUCAUCGAGCCUAGGAAUAGGAUGACGAUAACGAAUAGUAAUAUUAUUAAUGCCUCUACAAUCAACACACAUACGCGACGUACCAUCCUUUUUAGGCACGAGUAUAAUAGGAACAGCACAAGGACUAAGAGAUUCGCGUAUAUAACCUUUGUCGAGCAGCUCCUGUACUUGACGCAUAAUCUCCUUCGUCUCCUCUGGAUUGGUACGGUAUGGUGCACGGUUGGGUAGCGAUGCACCGGGAAUUAAGUCAAUUUGAUGCUCAAUCCCUCGAAUAGGUGGUAAUCCCGGUGGCACGUCUUGUGGGAAGACAUCAGCGAACUCCUGCAAAAUGUGAGUGACAGCAGGGGGCAAAGAGGAAGGCACGUCCUCGAAUGAAAAUAAUGCCUCUUUGCACACAAAAGCAUAGCAAACAGAUUUGCUGAAAUCUAGUUCAUCAAUAUCAGAUUUUGUGGCAAGUAAACAUGCACGUUUCAAUUUAAUUUCAGAAACAACACUAGAUGGUUUAUUAUUAGGUUUCAUUUGUUGCUCAAAUUCCUUUGCCACAAUCUGAUUUUCACUCUUAUUUUUCUCCUGUUUUGCUUUAUUAGCUCUAUUAAUGUCAUCUUUCAAAAUGGAAUCAGGAGUCAUAGGAAGCAAAGUAAUAUUUUUAUCCUUAUGAACAAGAGUAUACUGAUUGUUUCUACCAUGGUGUACAGAAUUUUUAUCAAAUUGCCAUGGUCUACCUAGUAAUAAGGAACAUGCUUGCAUGGGUACCACAUCACAAUCAACAUAAUCAGCAUAUGUAGAGAUACUAAAAUGCACACGAACGGUACGUGUUACCUUAACCUUGCCGCUGUUGUUGAACCAUUGGAUGUAGUAAGGAUGUGGAUGUGGUCUUGUGGUGAGAGAUAGCUUCUCCACCAUCUCCAUGCUAGCCAAGUUGUUACAGCUCCCUCCAUCUAUGAUGACGCGAACAGAACGUUCCUUCACAACUCCCUUUGUAUGGAACAAAUUAUGCCUCUGAUUUUGCUCUGCUUGUGUGACCUGCACACUCAAAACACGUUGAGCAACUAAACAUUCAUACCUGUCAGCGUCUUAGCCAUGUAGUGCGUCUCAUUUUCAGAAUCAUCUCCACCAUGUUCUUCACGUGUAAUAAGAGCCAAAGUCUCGUCAUCAUAGUCACUAGCGGACUCAUACCCACCAUCCUCAGUAGCAAUCAUGACACGCUGAGAUUUGCAUUCUCUCGCAAAAUGUCCUCUUCCCUUACAACGACGACAAAUAAUAUCACUUGUGUGCCCUGUCGAUGCCAUGGAAGAAGAAGAGCUCUGCACAGGCCCGGCAGGUGUGCUCUUGGCAGAGAGUGGUGGUUGUGCCUGCUUUCUUGUAUCACGGCUGGAGGUGGCACCUGAUGGAGGUGAUGGUGAAGUGGAAGUAGAAGAUGCACGCGGUGUCCAUGAUGAAGGUCGACCUGCAGAAAAGUUAGUUCGCGCCAAUGGCUGUCGAUCCUGCACUUCACGUUCAGCUUUACAAGCAAGAUGGAAUAAACGAGUGAUAUUAUUAUAAUCCUUAUACUCUAGAAUGGUCUGAAUCUCUUUAUUUAAUCCACCCAUAAAACGUGCAAGCAUAGCUUCAUUCUCCUCAACAAUACCACAUCUAAUCAUGCCAGUUUGUAAUUCCUGAUAAUAUUCUUCUACAGAAUUUUUUCCUUGUCUUAAACGCUGCAAUUUUUGAAGUAAUUCAAUUUGAGAAAAAUAAGAGUGAAAAUCAGAUUGUGGCAAAGGAAUUUGAGCAACAAAUGAAACCUAAUAAUAAACCAUCUAGUGUUGUUUCUGAAAUUAAAUUGAAAAGUGCAUGUUUACUUGCCACAAAAUCUGAUAUUGAUGAACUAGAUUUCAGCAAAUCUGUUUGCUAUGCUUUUAUGUGCAAAGAGGCAUUAUUUUCAUUCGAGGACGUGCCUUCCUCUUUGCCCCCUGCUGUCACUCACAUUUUGCAGGAGUUCGCUGACGUCUUCCCACAAGACGUGCCACCGGGAUUACCACCUAUUCGAGGGAUUGAGCAUCAAAUUGACUUAAUUCCCGGUGCAUCGCUACCCAACCGUGCACCAUACCGUACCAAUCAAGAGGAGACGAAGGAGAUUAUGCGUCAAGUACAGGAGCUGCUCGACAAAGGUUAUAUACGCGAAUCUCUUAGUCCUUGUGCUGUUCCUAUUAUACUCGUGCCUAAAAAGGAUGGUACGUCGCGUAUGUGUGUUGAUUGUAGAGGCAUUAAUAAUAUUACUAUUCGUUAUCGUCAUCCUAUUCCUAGGCUCGAUGAUAUGCUUGAUGAAUUGAGUGGCUCUACAAUAUUCUCCAAAGUUGAUUUGCGUAGUGGAUACCAUCAAAUUCGUAUGAAAUUGGGAGAUGAAUGGAAAACUGCAUUUAAAACUAAGUUUGGUUUAUAUGAGUGGUUAGUCAUGCCUUUUGGGUUAACUAAUGCACCUAGUACUUUCAUGAGACUAAUGAACGAAGUUUUACGUGCUUUCAUUGGACGAUUUGUGGUGGUCUAUUUUGAUGAUAUACUGAUUUAUAGCAAAUCUUUGGAAGAACAUUUGGAACAUUUACGUGCUGUUUUUAUUGCUCUACGUGAUGCACGUUUGUUUGGUAACCUUGGGAAGUGCACCUUUUGCACCGACCGUGAUGAGGACAUCAAUACAAUUAUUACACCCACAGUCCCUGCUGCUAUACAUACUGGACCAAUUACUAGAGCUCGCGCACGCCAAUUAAAUUACCAGGUACUUUCGUUUCUUGCUAAUGAUUCUAAUGUUCAUGAGAAUAUGAUGCUGCCUAAAUUGGAUACAUUUGUUUUGCUUACAAAUGAAGGGCCUAGCUUUGAGAAGGAUGAACAUUGGAGCAAGAACAAGCAUGGAGAUGAUGGCAUGCGCAUGGGGAACAAGAACGGAGUUACAAGUGAUGAUUUCAGGACGUUGAAGCCACCAUAAUGCGUGCAUGAAGCCUUGGACGAAAUAUACAAGAUGCUACUUCAUAACUUUCGUCCAGAGGCUAUUCUAGGUGCUGCGUCACCUUAUUAUUGGGCCAGGCCCAUGUAAUUUCGAAAUACAUAAGUAUAGGCUGUUUUUAGAGUCCGUAUGUGUGGGGAAACAAGAGAUAGGGUUGGUUUCGGACCCCUUCCUCAAGGGCCACGAAAUUCCCCCCCUCUUCCUCCAUAUAUACAGCCCUUAGGGCGUCGUUUAGACUUUGGGGUUUUGUUUAGAUUAAAAGUUCGCCAUAGCUGCAACUUCGCGUACUUCGUUUGUGUUCAGCGACCAGACAAAGGCGUCACAGAACCCCACCUUGAUCAAUAAAGCUUUCAUCUUAUAUUCGCAAUAUCCAGAUUGCAAUCUUAGUUUCUUGCCUGUUCUUCGUUUGCUCGCAGGAAACAGACCCUCGUGGUCAGCUUGAUCGUGCUCCGGCGUGGUCGAUAACCUCUCGGAGUUGGUUUAGCGAUUGCUAAGGCGCGACGUCCUCGCACGUUCGUAGUCGGAUCGUCAAAGUCGACUUCCAUCAAAGCGAUAUUCAUCAUCUCAUCGAAAGACGGGACACCUUUGCCUCUAUCAAGUGGUAUCAGAUUUCCAGGUUGCUCGGUGAGAUUUUACAGUUUUUCGUAGUUUAGAUCGAGUCUGUUCUUCAUACCUACAGUCCACGAAAAAGCCACAAAAAAAAUAAGGGUUAGUUCAUCAUAUCCGAACCAAUCUGAGCCUUUGCAUAAUCUUUUUAGGGUUUUUGCUUUGUUGAAUUUGCGGUUGCAUCGUCGUGUCAAGUUGCUGGUCUUAGAGUCUAGUCUUUUAGAGUUUCGAGUUCUGGUCAUAAGUUGUCACGCCGCCGCCGCACCAUCAUCAUCGCCUUGCCAUCUACCACCAUUGCUUAUCCGCCACCGCUUUGAAUCCGUAUCCAUAUACCACGACCGCUACCAUAUACCACCACCGCUGCCAUAUACUACCGCCAUAUAUCCACCACCAAUCCGAGUUCUUUUCAUAGUUGGUUUGUUUUAGAGAUCCAUAUAUUUUCCGUUUCGUGUUUCCUUGCCUGAGUAGGUCUAAAAAAAAAGAGUCUGGAGACCCCCGGGCAGUUUUUAGGCCAAAAUUUCGGCAACCAAAAAUAUUUUUUCCCUAUCCUAUUUUUAGGCCCCGGGUAGUGUUUUGAGACACUCGCCAUCAUAGUGAUAUUUUGUCGCACUUUUUCGUCGUCGCUGCCCUGAUUUCCGAAAAAAAAAUAGUCAAAAAAUUUUGUGCCCAUCCUGUCAGUUUGACCUGGGAAGAGUUUUGAGACACUCGCCAUUAUAGUGAUUUUUCGCAAAAAAAAAAGGAGCGCAAAAAAAAAGAGCGCAAAAAAAAAGAGCGAAAAAAAAAUUCCAGAGUGUGCUUUUCCCUUGUUUACGUGCAGCGCCGUGAUUUUGUUAGUGUUCUAGGCUCGCGUCUCUAGCACGGUCUAGCCUAGGACCAGCACAGUACCGUCGUUGAGCGUUUAUUCAACUUUGCAUCUCUGAAUUGAUUAUUGCUUACCAUUUUGCUACCAUAUUAUAAGCCUUCCCAGCUCCACAUAAGUCUACAUCGUGCGUUUGACUCUCCCUGGUAAUCGCUAUAUCCAAGCUUUGAGAGUUUUUGACUACAACGGUUGCCGAUCACCACCUGCUGCUGGGUAAGAACUGGUAAGAAUUUGAGAUUCGCUUGAAGGUUUUGUGACACACCACCAUCACCACCACUUCUAGUAGUCUGCAGGAUCAUAUUCUUUUGUGUUUCUAUUGCUGCUAACCAUGGCAGGUUCACAAGCCGAUGAGACUGAUUGGGCGAACAUGACGAACAAGGAGUUGCAUGAUAAAUUUCAGCAAAUGAUGAGUGGCCAGGUGGGAGAUGUGCUAAACAGAUUUGAAGAGGCUAUGGAGAAGAUAGAUGCCGUGGAGAAGUCGUUUGAGACAAAGCUGGAUAACAAGUUUACUGAAUUACUAAAGCGUCUUCCCCAACCACCACCGGCUGCACAUGUCGCACCUCUACAACAACAACAACCACAUCUCCAACGCCGCCUUCCAAAUCAAGUGGGACGGGCACAGCGCGUUCCAAUUGAGAUUGGUCAAAAUUCGGGUGCUGCUGUCCCUACUGUUGAUGCUUCUUUGGCUCCUGCUCCUGCGGCGGCUGAGGAGGAUGACGAUUAUGCAGGCGAUUAUGAGGAUGAGGUUGCUCAAAAUCAGAACUACGUGCAGCCACCAGCACCACCACCAGCAGGUCGACCUCAGGUAUAUAUUCGCAACGGUAGGCCGGCACCACCACCUCAGGUACGAGAUCAUGACCAUCUCCCUAAACUGAAAUUGAAUAUUCCACCAUUUGAGGGUAGAUAUGUUCCUGAUAUAUAUCUUACUUGGGAGUUAGAAACUGAACAACGAUUUACAUGUUUACAAUAUCCUGAGGAGAGACGUGUUCCUGCUGCUGUUUGUGCUUUCACUAGCUUUGCAUGUGUUUGGUGGUCUGAACAUUGUAGAUUAUAUCCUGUUCCAGCUACUUGGGCUGCUUUGAAAACUGCUAUGCGUACUCGUUGGGUUCCACCAUAUUAUCAACGUGAAUUACUUCAAAAAUUGCAGCGUUUAAGACAAGGAAAAAAUUCUGUAGAAGAAUAUUAUCAGGAAUUACAAACUGGCAUGAUUAGAUGUGGUAUUGUUGAGGAGAAUGAAGCUAUGCUUGCACGUUUUAUGGGUGGAUUAAAUAAACAGAUUCAGACCAUUCUAGAGUAUAAGGAUUAUAAUAAUAUCACUCGUUUAUUCCAUCUUGCUUGUAAAGCUGAACGUGAAGUGCAGGAUCGACAGCCAUUGGCGCGAACUAACUUUUCUGCAGGUCGACCUUCAUCAUGGACACCGCGUGCAUCUUCUACUUCCACUUCACCAUCACCUCCAUCAGGUGCCACCUCCAGCCGUGAUACAAGAAAGCAGGCACAACCACCCCUCUCUGCCAAGAGCACACCUGCCGGGCCUGUGCAGAGCUCUUCUUCUUCCAUGGCAUCGACAGGGCACACAAGUGAUAUUAUUUGUCGUCGUUGUAAGGGAAGAGGACAUUUUGCGAGAGAAUGCAAAUCUCAGCGUGUCAUGAUUGCUACUGAGGAUGGUGGGUAUGAGUCCGCUAGUGACUAUGAUGAGGAGACUUUGGCUCUUAUUACACGUGAAGAACAUGGUGGAGAUGAUUCUGAAAAUGAGACGCAAUACAUGGCUCCUGAAGACGCUGACAGGUAUGAAUGUUUAGUUGCUCAACGUGUUUUGAGUGUGCAGGUCACACAAGCAGAGCAAAAUCAGAGGCAUAAUUUGUUCCAUACAAAGGGAGUUGUGAAGGAACGUUCUGUUCGCGUCAUCAUAGAUGGAGGGAGCUGUAACAACUUGGCUAGCAUGGAGAUGGUGGAGAAGCUAUCUCUCACCACAAGACCACAUCCACAUCCUUACUACAUCCAAUGGUUCAACAACAGCAGCAAGGUUAAGGUAACACGUACUGUUCGUGUGCAUUUUAGUAUCUCUACAUAUGCUGAUUAUGUUGAUUGUGAUGUGGUACCCAUGCAAGCAUGUUCCUUAUUACUAGGUAGACCAUGGCAAUUUGAUAAAAAUUCUGUACACCAUGGUAGAAACAAUCAGUAUACUCUUGUUCAUAAGGAUAAAAAUAUUACUUUGCUUCCUAUGACUCCUGAUUCCAUUUUGAAAGAUGACAUUAAUAGAGCUAAUAAAGCAAAACAGGAGAAAAAUAAGAGUGAAAAUCAGAUUGUGGCAAAGGAAUUUGAGCAACAAAUGAAACCUAAUAAUAAACCAUCUAGUGUUGUUUCUGAAAUUAAAUUGAAACGUGCAUGUUUACUUGCCACAAAAUCUGAUAUUGAUGAACUAGAUUUCAGCAAAUCUGUUUGCUAUGCUUUUGUGUGCAAAGAGGCAUUAUUUUCAUUCGAGGACGUGCCUUCCUCUUUGCCCCCUGCUGUCACUCACAUUUUGCAGGAGUUCGCUGAUGUCUUCCCACAAGACGUGCCACCGGGAUUACCACCUAUUCGAGGGAUUGAGCAUCAAAUUGACUUAAUUCCCGGUGCAUCGCUACCCAACCGUGCACCAUACCGUACCAAUCCAGAGGAGACGAAGGAGAUUAUGCGUCAAGUACAGGAGCUGCUCGACAAAGGUUAUAUACGCGAAUCUCUUAGUCCUUGUGCUGUUCCUAUUAUACUCGUGCCUAAAAAGGAUGGUACGUCGCGUAUGUGUGUUGAUUGUAGAGGCAUUAAUAAUAUUACUAUUCGUUAUCGUCAUCCUAUUCCUAGGCUCGAUGAUAUGCUUGAUGAAUUGAGUGGCUCUACAAUAUUCUCCAAAGUUGAUUUGCGUAGUGGAUACCAUCAAAUUCGUAUGAAAUUGGGAGAUGAAUGGAAAACUGCAUUUAAAACUAAGUUUGGUUUAUAUGAAUGGUUAGUCAUGCCUUUUGGGUUAACUAAUGCACCUAGUACUUUCAUGAGACUAAUGAACGAAGUUUUACGUGCUUUCAUUGGACGAUUUGUGGUAGUCUAUUUUGAUGAUAUACUGAUUUAUAGCAAAUCUUUGGAAGAACAUUUGGAACAUUUACGUGCUGUUUUUAUUGCUCUACGUGAUGCACGUUUGUUUGGUAACCUUGGGAAGUGCACCUUUUGCACCGACCGAGUAUCUUUUCUUGGCUAUGUUGUUACUCCACAGGGAAUUGAAGUUGAUAAAGCCAAGAUUGAAGCUAUUGAGAGUUGGCCGCAGCCCAAAACGGUCACACAAGUGCGGAGUUUUCUUGGACUCGCUGGUUUCUAUAGGCGUUUUGUGAGAGAUUUUAGCACCAUUGCUGCACCUCUCAACGAGCUUACAAAGAAGGAUGUGCCUUUUGUUUGGGGUACCGCACAGGAAGAAGCCUUCACGGUAUUGAAAGAUAAGUUGACACAUGCUCCUUUACUCCAACUUCCUGAUUUGAAUAAGACUUCUUGAUAGAGGCAAAGGUGUCCCGUCUUUCGAUGAGAUGAUGGAUAUCGCUUUGGUGGAAGUCGACUUUGACGAUCCGACUACGAACGUGCGAGGACGUCGCGCCUUAGCAAUCGCUAAACCAACUCCGAGAGGUUAUCGACCACGCCGGAGCACGAUCAACCUGACCACGAGGGUCUGUUUCCUGCGAGCAAACGAAGAACAAGCAAGAAACUGAGAUUGCAAUCUGGAUAUUGCGAAUAUAAGAUGAAAGCUUUAUUGAUCAAGGUGGAGUUCUGUGACGCCUUUGUCUGGUCGCUGAACACAAACGAAGUACGCGAAGUUGCAGCUAUGGCGAACUUUUAAUCUAAACAAAACCCAAAGUCUAAACGACGCCCUAAGGGCUGUAUAUAUGGAGGAAGAGGGGGGGAAUUUCGUGGCCCUUGAGGAAGGGGUCCGAAACCAACCCUAUCUCUUGUUUCCCCACACAUACGGACUCUAAAAAUAGCCUAUACUUAUGUAUUUCGAAAUUACAUGGGCCUGGCCCAAUAAUAAGGUGACGCAGCACCUAGAAUAGCCUCUGGACGAAAGUUAUGAAGUAGCAUCUUGUAUAUUUCGUCCAAGGCUUCAUGCACGCAUUAUGGUGGCUUCAACGUCCUGAAAUCAUCACUUGUAACUCCGUUCUUGUUCCCCAUGCGCAUGCCAUCAUCUCCAUGCUUGUUCUUGCUCCAAUGUUCAUCCUUCUCAAAGCUAGGCCCUUCAUUUGUAAGCAAAACAAAUGUAUCCAAUUUAGGCAGCAUCAUAUUCUCAUGAACAUUAGAAUCAUUAGCAAGAAACGAAAGUACCUGGUAAUUUAAUUGGCGUGCGCGAGCUCUAGUAAUUGGUCCAGUAUGUAUAGCAGCAGGGCCUGUGGGUGUAAUAAUUGUAUUGAUGUCCUCAUCACAUGGCAAUCUCCAUUUCCUUGUAGUAUUCUUCAACGCUCCUGGUUCCUUGCUUGAGUUGUUGUAGUUUCUUGAAGAGGUCACGGUUGUAGUAGUUUGGCACGAAUCGUGCUCUCAUGAUAUCCUUCAUUUGUGCCCAAUUGGUGAUGGGUGGUUCACCUCUUGCCGCUCGGCGCUCAAUGACUUGUUCCCACCAAAUGAGGACGUAGUCUUGGAAUUCAAGGGAUGCCAUUGCAAUCUUCUUCUCUUCUUCGUAGUUGUGCAAGCGGAAGAUUUUGUCCACCUUCAAUGCCCAUGAUAUGUACACUUCGGGGUCAUUGCUUCCAGUAAACUUUGGCAUGGUGAACUUUAGCUGGCCAUAUCGUUGCUCUUCAUUGUGUUGGGGUCGGGGAUGAUGACGCCCAUGUCGGUGAUGAUUGGCAAUCUCAUGUUGCUCUUGGCGACGAGGGUUGUCUUCCUCAUGUUGCUCUUGGCGAGGUGAUAGAGGCAAAGGUGUCCCGUCUUUUAAUGAGAUGAUGGAUAUCGCUUUGGUGGAAGUCGACUUUGACGAUCCGACUACGAACGUGCGAUGACGUCGCGCCUUAGCAAUCGCUAAACCAACUCCGAGAGGUUAUUGACCACGCCGGAGCACGAUCAAUCUGACCACAAGGGUCUGUUUCCUGCGAGCAAACGAAGAACAAGCAAGAAACUGAGAUUGCAAUCUGGAUAUUGCGAAUAUAAGAUGAAAGCUUUAUUGAUCAAGGUGGAGUUCUAUGACGCCUUUGUCUGGUCGUUGAACACAAACGAAGUACGCGAAGUUGCAGCUAUGGCGAACUUUUAAUCUAAACAAAACCCAAAGUCUAAACGACGCCCUAAGGGCUGUAUAUAUGGAGGAAGAGGGGGGAAUUUCGUGGCCCUUGGGGAAGGGGUCCGAAACCAACCAUAUCUCUUGUUUCCCCACACAUACGGACUCUAAAAACAGCCUAUACUCAAGUAUUUCGAAAUUACAUGGGCCUGGCCCAAUAAUAAGGUGACGCAGCACCUAGAAUACCCUCUGGACGAAAGUUAUGAAGUAGCAUCUUGUAUAUUUCGUCCAAGGCUUCAUGCACGCAUUAUGGUGGCUUCAACGUCCUGAAAUCAUCACUUGUAACUCCCUUCUUGUUCCCCAUGCGCAUGCCAUCAUCUCCAUGCUUGUUCUUGCUCCAAUGUUCAUCCUUCUCAAAGCUAGGCCCUUCAUUUGUAAGCAAAACAAAUGUAUCCAAUUUAGGCAGCAUCAUAUUCUCAUGAACAUUAGAAUCAUUAACAAGAAACAAAAGUACCUGGUAAUUUAAUUGGCGUGCGCGAGCUCUAGUAAUUGGUCCAGUAUGUAUAGCAGCAGGGGUUGUGGUUGUAACAAUGGUAUUGAUGUCCUCAUCAUCCUCCCCUUCUUGAAAUGAAGUCAUCCUCGACGGAAGCUCAUCUCCCUCACCCAAAUAAGGCUUCAAAUCUGCAAUGUUAAAAGUGGGACUAACCCCAAAAUCUGCAGGCAGCUCAAGUUUAUAUGCAUUAUCAUUUAUUUUCUCUAACACCUUAAAAGGACCAUCAGCACGUGGCAUUAGCUUUGAUUUGCGCAAAUCAGGAAAUCUAUCCUUACGCAAAUGUAACCAAACAAGAUCUCCAGGUGCAAACACAACAUGUUUUCUACCCUUAUCUCCAGCAAGUUUAUAUUUCGCAUUCAUACGCUCAAUGUUUUCCUUAGUUAACUCAUGCAUUUUUAAGAUCAAUUCAGCACGUUGUUUAGCGUCAAAAUUAACCUUCUCCGAAGAUGGAAGAGGCAACAAAUCAAUAGGUGCACGAGGUAGGAAACCAUACACAAUUUCAAAAGGGCACAUCUUAGUAGUAGAAUGCAAUGAACGAUUAUAAGCAAACUCAAUAUGAGGCAAGCAUUCUUCCCACAUUUUCUUAUUAUUCUUCAAAACAGCCCUAAGCAUAGUAGACAAUGUUCUAUUGACUACUUCAGUUUGUCCAUCAGUUUGGGGGUGACAAGUAGUACUAAAAAGCAGUUUAGUCCCCAACUUAGCCCAUAAACAUCUCCAAAAGUGGCUAAGUGAUGAGGACAUCAAUACCAUUGUUACACCCACAGCCCCUGCUGCUAUACAUACUGGACCAAUUACUAGAGCUCGCGCACGCCAAUUAAAUUACCAGGUACUUUCGUUUCCUGGUAUUGAUUCUAAUGUUCAUGAGAAUAUGAUGCUGCCUAAAUUGGAUACAUUUGUUUUGCUUACAAAUGAAGGGCCUAGCUUUGAGAAGGAUGAACAUUGGAGCAAAACAAGCAUGGAGAUGAUGGCAUGCGCAUGGGGGAUAAGAACGGAGUUACAAGUGAUGAUUUCAGGACGUUGAAGCCACCAUAAUGCGUGCAUGAAGCCUUGGACGAAAUAUACAAGAUGCUACUUCAUAACAUUCGUCCAGAGGCUAUUCUAGGUGCUGCGUCACCUUAUUAUUGGGCCAGGCCCAUGUAAUUUCGAAAUACUUGAGUAUAGGCUGUUUUUAGAGUCCGUAUGCGUGGGGAAACAAGAGAUAGGGUUGGUUUCGGACCCCUUCCCCAAGGGCCACGAAAUUCCCCCCUCUUCCUCCAUAUAUACAGCCCUUAGGGCGUCGUUCAGACUUUGGGUUUUGUUUAGAUUAAAAUUUUGCCAUAGCUGCAACUUUGCGUACUUCGUUUGUGUUCAACGACCAGACAAAGGCAUCACAGAACCCCACCUUGAUCAAUAAAGGUUUCAUCUUAUAUUCGCAAUAUCCAGAUUGCAAUCUCAGUUUCUUGCCUGUUCUUUGUUUGCUCGCAGGAAACAGACCCUCGUGGUCAGGUUGAUCGUGCUCCGGCGUGGUCGAUAACCUCUCGGAGUUGGUUUAGCGAUUGCUAAGGCGCGACGUCCUCGCACGUUCGUAGUCGGAUCGUCAAAGUCGACUUCCAUCAAAGCGAUAUCCAUCAUCUCAUCGAAAGACGGGACACCUUUGCCUCUAUCAUUUGCUGGUCUUAGCGUCUAGUCCUUUAGGGUUUCGAGUUUUGUUCACAGGUUGUCACGUCGCCGCUGCCAUAUAUCACCACCGCAUCAUCAUCAUCGCUGCUGCCAUAUACCACCACCACACCAACUUCAUCGCCGCUGCCAUAUACCACCACCACAUAUUGAUGAGGACAUCAAUACCAUUGUUACACCUACAGCCCCUGCUGCUAUACAUACUAGACCAAUUACUAGAGCUCGCGCGCGCCAAUUAAAUUACCAAGUACUUUUGUUUCUUGGUGAUGAUUCUAAUGUUCAUGAGAAUAUGAUGCUGCCUAAAUUGGAUACAUUUGUUUUGCUUACAAAUGAAGGGCCUAGCUUUGAGAAGGAUGAACAUUGGAGCAAGAACAAGCAUAGAGAUGAUGGCAUGCGCAUGGGGGACAAGAACGGAGUUACAAGUGAUGAUUUCAGGACGUUGAGGCCACCAUAAUGCGUGCAUGAAGCCUUGGACGAAAUAUACAAGAUGCUACUUCAUAACUUUCGUCCAGAGGCUAUUCUAGGUGCUGCGUCACCUUAUUAUUGGGCCAGGCCCAUGUAGUUUCGAAAUACUUGAGUAUAGGCUAUUUUUAGAGUCCGUAUGUGUGGGGAAACAAGAGAUAGGGUUGGUUUCGGACCCCUUCCCCAAGGGCCACGAAAUUCCCCCCCUCUUCCUCCAUAUAUACAGCCCUUAGGGCGUCGUUUAGACUUUGGGUUUUGUUUAGAUUAAAAGUUCGCCAUAGCUGCAACUUCGCGUACUUCGUUUGUGUUCAACGACCAGACAAAGGCGUCACAGAACCCCACCUUGAUCAAUAAAGCUUUCAUCUUAUAUUCGCAAUAUCCAGAUUGCAAUCUCAGUUUCUUGCUUGUUCUUCGUUUGCUCGCAGGAAACAGACCCUCGUGGUCAGGUUAAUCGUGCUCCGGCGUGGUCAAUAACCUCUCGGAGUUGGUUUAGCGAUUGCUAAGGCGCGACGUCCUCGCACGUUCGUAGUCGGAUCGUCAAAGUCGACUUCCAUCAAAGCGAUAUCCAUCAUCUCAUCGAAAGACGGGACACCUUGGCCUCUAUCAAGAUCCGUAAUGGAUGAGCAAUGCUCUAUCUCACAUAAGAGCUAAACCAAUGCUAACCCUAGAAAGAUGGGGGAGAAGGAGUAUAUAUAGUCUAGAGGGUCGAAGGGGUACACGGGCCUCGGCCCUUUACUGUGCGCAGACAGGGGGGCCGGAUGUCCGGGCCUUCCCGAGGGGCCGGAUGUUCGGGCUUGGCGGGUGUUUGACUUUUCCCGUUGGUUCUCCUCAUCCAUGGACUUGGCGACUUGUCCGUCUUCAUGUACAUCUCCGAGAGGCUCCUCUUGACACCUAAUCAUGCAUAGCAUAUCGGACGUAGGUAGUAGCCAUGUCUCUAGUGGAUCAUAUGUGAUAUCACUAAGGAAGGAAGUCACCUCGUUCUCGAGAGCUCUAGCUCGUGCUCGUGUCAUAGGUCCUCUUGGCUCUUGAUGAGACGAUGGUAGGUCCAUGGGGAUGAUCAUGGGAUGCUCCGCAUCAGAAGGAGAAAUGGAAGCCCUUGAGCAAGUGGCCAUGCACCGACAAGUGAACAAUGAAGAAGAAGAUGAUCACAUCUUUUGUGACGAAGACUCAAGUCCCGCUCUUGUUGUCUCCAAGGUUUUGACUCUUCAACAUCAACAAGACGAAGAUCAAAGAUGCCAUAUCUUCCACACAAAGGCCGGCAUCAAUGGACGGUCCGUCAAGGUCAUCAUCGAUGGAGGGAGUUGCCAUAACUUGGCAAGUGAAGAACUAUGCUCCAAACUCCAAUUGGUCAAGAUGAAGCACCCACACCCCUACAAGGUUCAAUGGCUAAGCGACACCGGCACCAUCCAAGUCGAGCAUAGGGUACAAGUCUCUUUCAAGAUCGGCGCCUAUGAAGACACUUUGGAGUGUGAUGUCCUUCCGAUGACCAUGUGCCACCUCCUUCUUGGACGGCCAUGGCAAUUUGACCGAGGUGUCAUUCACAAUGGGCAUACAAAUCACUAUAGCUUCAAGAUGAAAGGGAAAGAGUUUGUUCUACGACCUAUGUCUCCAAGCCAAGUACUCGCCGACAAGCAAGCCACCCAUCGUGGAGAGAAUAGUGAGAGAGCGAACCACCAAAAAGAGAGUGAGCGCCACAAGCCCAAAUUGAGUGCCUCCACGAUGAGCGACAAGGAAAACUUAGUCCUAUUUGCCACCAAACGUGAGAUGAGAGAAGUGUGUGAGAACCCAUCCAGUGUCCUACACUAUGUCCUAUUGUGCAAGGACGAGGCACCAAAAACUAACAACUCUCACGAUCUACCUUUGGUGUUAUCUUCUUUAUUGCAGGAAUUCCAAGAUGUUUUCCCCGAUGAGCUACCUCCGGGUCUACCUCCACUACGAGGCAUUAAGCACCGAAUCGAUCUCAUCCCCGGAGCGCCGCUUCCAAACAAAGCUCCCUACCGCGUCAACCCCGAAGAAACCAAAGAAAUACAAAGGCAAGUAAAGCAUCUCAUAGAUCAUGGACAUGUGCGUGAAAGUUUGAGUCCUUGUGCCGUACCGGUCAUUCUUGUGCCAAAACGAGACGGUAGUUUUCGCAUGUGUUCCGAUUGUAGACCUAUCAAUGCUAUCACCGUUCGAUAUAGGUACCCCAUUCCACGCCCUGAUGAUAUGCUUGAUGAACUUUGCGGUGCCACUAUCUUUUCCAAAAUUGAUCUUAAAAGUGGUUACUAUCAAAUCCGCAUACAAGAGGGAGAUGAAUGGAAAACCGCUUUCAAAACCAAGUUUGGUCUAUAUGAGUGGUUAGUCAUGCCUAUGGGUUUAUCGGAAGCACCCGGUACUUUCAUGCGUCUUAUGCAUUACGUGUUUCGCCCUUACAUUGGUGAAUUUGUUGUUGUCUACUUUGAUGAUAUCCUUGUAUUUAGCAAAUCUCUCAAAGAACAUGUCACCCACCUUCGCACCGUGCUACAAACUCUUCGAAAAGAGCAACUUUAUGCUAAUAUGGAAAAAUGUCUAUUUGGUGUUGAUAAGCUUGUUUUCUUGGGUUUCGUAGUAUCUUCUAAGGGUGUUCAUGUUGAUGAAUCUAAGAUCAAUGAUAUUAAAACUUGGCCCCAACCAACCAAUUUGCAACAAGUGCUUAGUUUUCUUGGUUUAGCCGGUUUCUACCGUAGAUUUGUGAAGGAUUUUAGCACCAUUGCUUCACCUUUGCAUGCUUUGAGUAAGAAAAAUGCACCGUUUGGUUGGGGAACAUCCCAAGAUAUCACUUUCAAUGAGCUUAAGAAUUUGCUUACUCAUGCUCCCGUGCUUGCAUUACCCAACUUUGACAAAACUUUUGAAAUUCAUUGCGAUGCUAGUGGUAAUGGCAUAGGAGGUGUGUUAACGCAAGAGAAGCGUCCCAUUGCAUACUUUAGUGAGAAACUCUCCGGAGCGCAACUCAAUUACCCCAUCUAUGACAAAGAGUUAUAUGCUUUAGUGCGAGUUUUGCAUGAAUGGGAAUAUUACCUACGCCCUCAUGAGUUCAUCAUCCAUACCGACCAUGAAACGCUUAAAUACCUGAAGGGUCAAACUAAGUUCAACAAGCGUCAUGCUAAAUGGAGUGAGUUUAUUGAGUCUUUUCCCUAUGUCAUCAAGUAUAUUAAAGGUAAGGAAAAUGUUGUGGCGGAUGCACUUUCCCAUAUAUGCAUGCUUGUUACUCAACUUGAGUUAAAUGUCAUUGGUUUUGAGCACAUAAAAGACUUGUAUGAGCACGAUCCUACAUUUGCUAUUCCUUAUGCCAAGUGUUUGACACAUACUUCUUGGGAUCGAUACUACAUCAAAGAUGGAUAUCUUAUGAGAGCUAACAAACUUUGCAUCCCCGAGUCCUCUCUUCGCUUGUUGCUUUUGCAGGAAUCUCAUGGAGGCGGACUCAUGGGACACUUUGGACGCGACAAGACAUUUGCUACGCUCUCCAAGAACUACUUUUGGCCCAAGAUGUUUCGCGACGUCAAUUGCUUCACAAACCGAUGCUCUACAUGUCGCAAAGCUAAGUCUAAAGCACAAUCUCAUGGCCUCUACAUUCCACUUCCAAUUCCAUAUCAACCAUGGGAAGAUAUUAGCAUGGAUUUUGUGCUUGGUUUGCCUAGAACUCGAAAUGGCAAGGAUUCCGUUUUUGUUGUUGUGGACCGAUUCUCCAAAAUGGCACAUUUCAUUCCUUGCAACAAGAUAGACGAUGCUUCACAUGUUGCAAAUUUGUUUUGUAGGGAAAUCUUGCGCCUUCAUGGAGUGCCAACGACGAUUGUCUCGGACCGCGACGUCAAGUUCUUGAGUUACUUUUGGAAGACCUUGUGCGCCAAGCUCGGAAUCAAGCUUUUGUUCUCUUCGGCAUACCAUCCACAAACCGACGGCCAAACGGAGGUGACGAACCACACGCUAUCUACUCUACUACGCGUGUUGAUAAAGAAGAACAUCAAGGAGUGGGAGGAGUGCCUACCUAUUGAUGAGGACAUGACUACCUUGGAUACGACCAAAAAUAUUGCAUACAUGCAUAUUUGUCAGGUGAUUUCUAGUGCAAACUAUUCAAUAAUCUAUUUAUGUUAUCCAGAACAAAAAUACUUCACACACUUUUGUGUUUUGUCUAAUUGCCGGUGUAUGGGACAUUUGUACAAUCCACAUAUGAAGAUAAGGCAAAAGGAGAAGUUUAGGUUCUGUUCAAAAAGUCCUCUCACGUCACUUUUGGGCCAAGAGAAGAUAGAGUCCAAGUCUCUCACGUUCUGGAUUCAGAUUCGGACUGCACAGACAUACCUGACUCAAAACGCCAACAACUUUUUCAUAUGAACUCCGAAUUGGGUGAUUCUUUUUUUGUUGGAAACUAGAUUUCGUGCUCUUUCCAGCCCAAUUGGAUUCACCUUUAAAUUCGUCCGGAGCAUUGAGUUAUGGUCGAAACAAUCUGACGUUGCACCAGAAUCCGAGUCAAACUACAAGUCCAAAGGUGUUGCAUCACCUCCACUUGGGCCCAUGAGCCUUGUACGACCUAGGGUUGGUUUUAGGCUGCCUUGGGACGUCCUCCCACCUCCUUGGCCGCCACCCCUUGCUCCUAUAUAAGUAGAUCCAUCUAGUAGCUUUUUCCUUGGAAUUUGUUUAGUUAAAAGUUAGCCAUUGCAGCUUCGUGUACUUCGUUUGUGUCCAACGACCAGACCAAGACCGCUUACGGAUUCCCACCACUAUCAAUACUUCAUAUAUAUUCGCAAUAUUCAGAUUGCAUUAUCAUAUUCUUGCUCGUUCUUCGAUUGCUUGCAGGAAUAGACCUUCGUGGUCAGGCUGAUCGUGCUUCCGGCAUCGUCAGUAACCUCAGGAGAUUGGUUUAGCGAUUGAUAAGGCGCAACGUCGUGCACGUUUGUAGUCGGAUCGUCAAAGUCGUCUCCACCAAAUCGAUAGUUAUCAUCUCAUCGAAAGAUCGGGACACCUUUGCCUCUAUCAAGUGGUAUCAGUUUUCAGGUUGCUCGGUGAGAAUUUCCAGUUUCCCCUAGAUUAGAUUUAUUUUCUUACCUAUUGUCCAAGAAAAAGCCACAAAAAAGUUAGAUCUAUUCAUCCUUCUGUCCAAGCCAGUCUGAGCCUUUGCAAUUUUCUAUUCAUUGUUUGCAUUAUUGAAUUAUCGGCUGCAUCGUCGUGUCGAGUUGCUGGUCUUAGGGUCUAGUUCGUUUAGAGUUUUGAGUUCUGUUCACAUUAGUCACGUCGCCGCUGCAUCGUUAUCCCUUCUGCUGUCCACCACACCAUCCAUCAAAUUUCACCACGUGAUGAGGACAUCAAUACAAUUAUUACACCCACAGUCCCUGCUGCUAUACAUACUGGACCAAUUACUAGAGCUCGCGCACGCCAAUUAAAUUACCAGGUACUUUCGUUUCUUGCUAAUGAUUCUAAUGUUCAUGAGAAUAUGAUGCUGCCUAAAUUGGAUACAUUUGUUUUGCUUACAAAUGAAGGGCCUAGCUUUGAGAAGGAUGAACAUUGGAGCAAGAACAAGCAUGGAGAUGAUGGCAUGCGCAUGGGGAACAAGAACGGAGUUACAAGUGAUGAUUUCAGGACGUUGAAGCCACCAUAAUGCGUGCAUGAAGCCUUGGACGAAAUAUACAAGAUGCUACUUCAUAACUUUCGUCCAGAGGCUAUUCUAGGUGCUGCGUCACCUUAUUAUUGGGCCAGGCCCAUGUAAUUUCGAAAUACAUAAGUAUAGGCUGUUUUUAUAGUCCGUAUGUGUGGGGAAACAAGAGAUAGGGUUGGUUUCGGACCCCUUCCUCAAGGGCCACGAAAUUCCCCCCCUCUUCCUCCAUAUAUACAGCCCUUAGGGCGUCGUUUAGACUUUGGGUUUUGUUUAGAUUAAAAGUUCGCCAUAGCUGCAACUUCGCGUACUUCGUUUGUGUUCAGCGACCAGACAAAGGCGUCACAGAACCCCACCUUGAUCAAUAAAGCUUUCAUCUUAUAUUCGCAAUAUCCAGAUUGCAAUCUCAGUUUCUUGCCUGUUCUUCGUUUGCUCGCAGGAAACAGACCCUCGUGGUCAGGUUGAUCGUGCUCCGGCGUGGUCGAUAACCUCUCGGAGUUGGUUUAGCGAUUGCUAAGGCGCGACGUCCUCGCACGUUCGUAGUCGGAUCGUCAAAGUCGACUUCCAUCAAAGCGAUAUUCAUCAUCUCAUCGAAAGACGGGACACCUUUGCCUCUAUCAAGUGGUAUCAGAUUUCCAGGUUGCUCGGUGAGAUUUUACAGUUUUUCGUAGUUUAGAUCGAGUCUGUUCUUCAUACCUACAGUCCACGAAAAAGCCACAAAAAAAAAAAUUAGGGUUAGUUCAUCAUAUCCGAACCAAUCUGAGCCUUUGCAUAAUCUUUUUAGGGUUUUUGCUUUGUUGAAUUUGCGGUUGCAUCGUCGUGUCAAGUUGCUGGUCUUAGAGUCUAGUCUUUUAGAGUUUCGAGUUCUGGUCAUAAGUUGUCA